GGACUACUGGGGUUUCUAAUCCUGUUUGCUCCCCACGCUUUCGCAGUUGAGUGUCAGUGUCUGUCCAGGUCGCCGCCUUCGCCUCUGGUGUUCCUCCCGAUCUCUACGCAUUUCACCGCUACACCGGGAAUUCCACGACCCUCUCCAGAACUCGAGUCUCACCGUUUCUAGGGCACUUCUUGAGUUAAGCUCAAGGAUUUCACCCUAGACAAAUGAGACCACCUACUUGCCCUUUACGCCCAAUGAUUCCGAGCAACGCUUGCACCCUCUGUAUUACCGCGGCUGCUGGCAC
rnacentral:rRNA from 1 species